UGGGGAAUAUUGGACAAUGGGCGAAAGCCUGAUCCAGCCAUGCUGCGUGUGUGAAGAAGGUCUUCGGAUUGUAAAGCACUUUAAGUUGGGAGGAAGGGCAGUAAGCGAAUACCUUGCUGUUUUGUCGUUACCGACAGAAUAAGCACCGGCUAACUCUGUGCCAGCAGCCGCGGUAAUACAGAGGGUGCAAGCUUUAAUCGGAAUUACUGGGCGUAAAGUGCGCGUAGGUGGUUCGUUAAGUUGAAUGUGAAAGCCCCGGGCUCAACCUGGGAACUGCAUCCAAAACUGGCGAGCUAGAGUAGGGCAGAGGGUGGUGGAAUUUCCUGUGUAGCGGUGAAAUGCGUAGAUAUAGGAAGGAACACCAGUGGCGAAGGCGACCACCUGGGCUCAUACUGACACUGAGGUGCGAAAGCGUGGGGAGCAAACAGG
rnacentral:rRNA from 1 species